rnacentral:rRNA from 1 species
GUGAACGCUGGCGGCGUGCUUAACACAUGCAAGUCGAACGAGAACGGCUCCUUCGGGAGCGUCAGCUCAGUGGCGAACGGGUGAGUAAAGUAUAGGUAACGUGCCCCUUAGUGGGGGAUAACGGCUGGAAACGGCCGCUAAUACCCCAUACUCCUUAUAGUUGAGAUACUAUAAGGGAAAGGGUUACCGCUAAGGGAUCGGCCUAUAUUGUAUCAGCUUGUUGGUGAGGUAAAAGCUCACCAAGGCUAUGACGCGUAGCGGGUCUGAGAGGAUGAUCCGCCACACUGGAACUGAGACACGGUCCAGACUCCUACGGGAGGCAGCAGUGGGGAAUAUUGGGCAAUGGGCGAAAGCCUGACCCAGCAACGCCGCGUGGAGGAUGACGCCCUUCGGGGUGUAAACUCCUUUUGCAAGGGAAGAUGAUGACGGUACCUUGCGAAUAAGCACCGGCUAACUUCGUGCCAGCAGCCGCGGUAAUACGAAGGGUGCAAGCGUUACUCGGAAUCACUGGGCGUAAAGCGCGCGCAGGCGGCUGAAUAAGUUAGAUGUGAAAGCCUACGGCUCAACCGUGGAACUGCAUCUAAAACUGUUCAGCUAGAGUCUGGGAGAGGCAGGUGGAAUUAGUGGUGUAGGGGUAAAAUCCGCAGAGAUCACUAGGAAUACCGAAAGCGAAGGCGACCUGCUGGAACAGUACUGACGCUGAGGCGCGAAAGCGUGGGGAGCAAACAGGAUUAGAUACCCUGGUAGUCCACGCCCUAAACGAUGGAUGCUAGUCGUUGGGGUGCCAGUCACCUCAGUGAUGCAGCUAACGCGAUAAGCAUCCCGCCUGGGGAGUACGGCCGCAAGGCUAAAACUCAAAGGAAUAGACGGGGACCCGCACAAGUGGUGGAGCAUGUGGUUUAAUUCGAAGAUACGCGAAGAACCUUACCUGGCCUUGACAUCCCGAGAACCCUCCAGAGAUGGAGGGGUGCCCCUUUUGGGGAACUCGGUGACAGGUGCUGCACGGCUGUCGUCAGCUCGUGUCGUGAGAUGUUGGGUUAAGUCCCGCAACGAGCGCAACCCUCGCCCUUAGUUGCUAACAGGUUAAGCUGAGCACUCUAAGGGGACUGCCUGGGCAACCAGGAGGAAGGUGAGGACGACGUCAAGUCAUCAUGGUCCUUACGGCCAGGGCGACACACGUGCUACAAUGGGAAGGACAAAGAGACGCAAAACUGCGAGGUGGAGCAAAUCUUUAAACCUUCUCUCAGUUCGGAUUGUAGUCUGCAACUCGACUACAUGAAGCUGGAAUCACUAGUAAUCGUGGAUCAGCCAUGCCACGGUGAAUACGUUCCCGGGUCUUGUACUCACCGCCCGUCACACCAUGGGAGUUGAGUUCACCCGAAGCAGGGAUGCUAAACCGGCUACCUGCCACGGUGGGCUCAGCGACUGGGGUGAAGCCGUAACAAGGUAACCGUAGGAGAACCUG